rnacentral:rRNA from 1 species
GGUUAAUACCCUGUGUAGAUGACGGUACCGGAAUAAGAAGCACCGGCUAACUACGUGCCAGCAGCCGCGGUAAUACGUAGGGUGCGAGCGUUAAUCGGAAUUACUGGGCGUAAAGCGUGCGCAGGCGGUUUUGUAAGACAGGCGUGAAAUCCCCGGGCUCAACCUGGGAACUGCAUUUGAGACUGCCAGGCUGGAGUUUGGCAGAGGGGGGUGGAAUUCCACGUGUAGCAGUGAAAUGCGUAGAGAUGUGGAGGAACACCGAUGGCGAAGGCAGCCCCCUGGGCCAAUACUGACGCUCAUGCACGAAAGCGUGGGGAGCAAACAGGAUUAGAUACCCUGGUAGUCCACGCCCUAAACGAUGUCAACUAGGUGUUGGGAGGGUUAAACCUUUUAGUGCCGUAGCUAACA